rnacentral:rRNA from 1 species
AUGUCGCAGGUUCUACUUGAGUUGGCGCGCAGCCGGAACAAAAUCCCGCUGCCCAAGUCUAUUGCUCCACCUGGCUCGAUUCCUCUGCCACCUGAGCAGGACACUUUGUUGAGCGAAAACUACCAGCUUCUACCCGCAUUGAAGCCGCCAACUCAGAUUGAGGAAGUAGAAGAUGACAACGAGGGAGCCGACGCAAGCCCUGCCAAUCCUAGUUCAAGCUAUCCGCAGGAUCAGAGGGGCAGCGAGCAACAUCAGCCUCAGAGCCAGAGCCAGAGGGUGUCUUUCCAACUGAACGCGGUGGCUGCUGCGGCUGCAAAGCGUCCUUUGGUGACAGUUGAUCAGUUGAACACGGGCUAA